CUUGUAUGUUUCAUCAAAGGUUCUGGUCCAAGGUGAAGUUUUAUCAAGUGAUCAUCAGCUAUUUAGAAUAUGAGAGAUAAACACAUUCAAACGACACAAGAGGCUAAAUAACUUGUUGAAUAUUUUAUUUGCAAACAAAGUAGUAAUAUCUUAGAUUCCGUAAAAAUAUACAUUUUGAAACUCGUGACGGCUAUAUUUACACGAACGGAGAACGCCUUUAAAACAAAAUGUACCGGUCUGGAGAGAGAAGGAAAAAACAAGAAAAAAACAAGAAUAAAGCUACAGCUGAGAAAAGUGGGGGGAUUUGUACGACAUCUACUUUCCCUCCAUUACAGUCUGGACAGAUUUCUGUAAAGUCUGAAACUGAAUCGAAGGAACUCUGAGAGACAGACGAGUCUGCGUGACGACUCGGUGGACUAUGGGGGAAACACCGAAGCAAAGCAAACCCAGUAUCUACUCAAAACAGUUCCUUCAUCUUCCUUUAAUAGACAGUGUUUCUGUUUAUUUUUCUUGGUAUUACAGUAUAAAGUUCCACCGCCUUGUAUGGAUCAGAGGAACGGAUUUUUAUUUACUUAUCAAACCCAUUACCACCCGCAUUAAAUUUACCGCUAAACGCAUGAUGGUCUGGGAAAACCCGUCAGAUAUCGCUAAUGAUUUUACUUUCUAAUUUCGCCUUGGCGUCUUCCUGUUAAGGUCGUGAUGUGUAAGCAGUCAGUUCAACAUACGCUGAAAAGAAGUGUGAUUUUUCUCACAGUUUGAUCAUGUUGCUGGAAACGGACGUAAUCCUAAUCAAUUCAGUGUGUGAUCGGAUAGUCAAAAUGUCUGCAAUGCUCCUGCGAUCACAUCAUCAUCAUCAUCAUCACCAAAACAGAGAAGAGCGCUUACACGCUCUGUACAGACGACAGCGGAGAAACUUUUCAAAUGUUUCAAUGAGCUAAUAAAAAAUAAUAAUAGUUAAAAAGAUGAAGCAGCGAUGAUUUCCUCACUGAUGUUAGCGUGAACAGCGGUCAGUCGAGUGAGGAGACGACGAUGGGGCUCGGGUUGAAACCCGGCGAGCGACUAUUACUUCAGGUGAUGAGACAGACUUUUUUGGAGGACGCUCAGAAUCAAAGCGAGAACUCAUUUCACAUCGUAAACAUAGAAUUCUUUACAAUUUUAGCAAAUUGCAUUUAGUUUUCCCAUAUAUACAGGGUGUUCCAAAAGUAUCAGUACAUACAGUAGGGGAAAUGAACUCUUUUUAGCAAAAUGUCUUCCAAAAAUGGUCAUACUUAGUUUAUAUUAUAUAUAGUUUUCUGAGACAGCCUUUAAGAACGUCUUUGACAAAAGAAGAACGUAUUGAAAUCAUCCUCAAGGCUGGAUCGGGAAACCGUCGUAAGGUUGCGAUGGACUUUAACGGGGAAACACGGCGAGCACAUCAACACACACGACACUGUUGCUCGACUUAUUAACAAAUUCAAAAAGACUGGAAGAGUUGCGAACAGACCAGGAAGUGAACGUCCACGAACGUCCACUGACGAACACAACCCACGUGGUUCUGGUGUACAUAGCACUCUAUGUAUGGAGACUUUUGCGACACCUUGUAUAUUAGGUUAUAAAUGUAGAGGAA
ensembl:lncRNA